GGGGGCGAGGUCCAGUCUCAGGCUGGGGAAUCUCUGGAGCGGUGUUCGUCCUGGAGGCCAAGGAGCAAGGGAGCUAAGGAUUGAUUUCAUGGGGACUGAGAGCAGCAGGAAGGAUUAGGAUAUGCCACCUGCUGGAAGGAUCUACCUUACUGCACUUCCCAGAACCUAGAUGACCCAACACCCUUUUUGGAAGAGUUUGAAUAAUAGGAAUCAUUCAUCAUCUAUAAAGCAUCGGGGGAAAAUGGCAGACCUGUAUCUGGUGAAUGGGUUGAUUCAUAGAGAGGCCUGAAAUGCAGCAUAAUAUGGUGGAAAGUACACUGGCCUUGGCAUCAGAAAGCCUGAGUCUCAAG
rnacentral:lncRNA from 1 species